CUCUCUCUGGGCUUUUUUGCGUUUUCACACCUCCUAAGGGCGAGUUUGCAAGCCAGUAUUGAGACGAAGAGCAGACCGAUAUAGGACAAAGGAAGCGCAAAACUGCCACUUCAUUUAUAUAGUUUUUUUUGUUUGUUUAUUUUCUAGCUUUGAGCCGAGCACUACAAAUUAGACAAUUUUUUUUCGCAAACCAACGUUCGCGUGCCCAAUGUAAAUUUUGUAAGUCAUGCGAAAUGUGCUCGUCCAAACGGCCGCACCGCCGCACACUGAAAUUUCGAUAAUUUAGAACGUGGUUGGAGCUUCGAAUUCAGUCAGCAAUCAGAGCUUAUUCUGCGUUAUGUAAGCCACUAUAAUCUACUUAUGUACUGGCUCGUAUCUCGCGUCGCCCGCUGGCCGCUUUUGGCAGUGGCGGACAGAGUGCGAAGAAGAUCGAGCUCGUGAUCGGCGGCGAACGGCCCAAGCCCACCUGACUCACCCAACCUGUAUGCGCAGCUGCGAGCAUGCAACUCGUUUGUUCCGUGAAAAUUCUGCGCCAUCUAUGAGGAAAAGGGUACAAAUAAAUAGAGGUUGAAUCCCGCCUAAGAGCGCCCGCAGGGAUUUCUCGCAUAGUUCACGCUUAGUAAGAAUUUGUUUUAAGUUAAUUUUUCUGCCGCAUUGCGGCGCGAGUUUCUGCCCUCAUUUGGUAACCCUGUUGGAAUUUUUUUGUUGCUUUAUCCUGGACAAGCUUCCGCCCGCCACCGCUUGGUGCUGACGUGGCGUUGACCGUGACAAACUUCAGUCGAAGUCAGCUUCGCUUCGGCCGCGCUUCCUUCGCGCGCCUUGUUCCCGGUGUUAGCACCUUGGGACGGGUCUGCACGCGUCGGACACUUCCGCGUGCUCCCGGACAACACCGGAUACCCCCUGCUGCUCCAGGGAAGGUCACAAGUCCGUAGCGCAACAAUUCAGGACCUCUUCAAACGCGUGAGCAGCCGGCCGCUGAGGCCUUCUUCAGCCCUCGACGGUCGCUCGUUUUCGUGCCUGCUAAAGAUAGCGCUAAGCGCUAGUGGACCGUUGGUGCCUACCCCGAACGUGUUUUUUAAGCCUCUGUGCAUCGAACGACGCACGGAAGUCAGUGGUUUAACUACCUUUUUUUUUGUUGUUUGUUGUAGCUUCGAUAGAUUCCAGCAGGUCGGUGAUCUGGAAAUCCUCGUAGAAACCACCUUUCAUUAUGCAUCGUGUCCUGUCCAGAACAGGUUGUAUUUUUAUUUUUCGUUAACUUCCGGCAGGAAUACGUACUUAACGGUUCUUGCCGGAUUCAAGGGUAGGGAAGGCCGAUCACGUUGCAGCUUGCUGCACUGCCCUUGUCAUCCGGCAAGCCUUCUUUCUCCCAAAAAGACGUACACUAGAGUCCUUUUUCUUUACUACCGCCUUCGGCGGAAAUCUCUAGUACUAGCGAAAUGCAUCGUCAUCUAGUCAGUGACGCGCAUGACUGGAUUACCGAGAUUCCCACUGUCCCUAUCUACUAUCGAGCGAAACCACAGCCGAGGAAACGGGCUUGGAGAAAUCAGC
rnacentral:ncRNA from 1 species